rnacentral:rRNA from 1 species
GAUGAACGCUGGCGGCGUGCUAAACACAUGCAAGUCGAACGGAAAGGCCCAAGCUUGCUUGGGUACUCGAGUGGCGAACGGGUGAGUAACACGUGGGUGAUCUGCCUUGCACUUCGGGAUAAGCCUGGGAAACUGGGUCUAAUACCGGAUAGGACCACAUUUUGGAUGGUGUGGUGGAAAGUUUUUCGGUGUGGGAUGAGCUCGCGGCCUAUCAGCUUGUUGGUGGGGUAAUGGCCUACCAAGGCGUCGACGGGUAGCCGGCCUGAGAGGGUGUACGGCCACAUUGGGACUGAGAUACGGCCCAGACUCCUACGGGAGGCAGCAGUGGGGAAUAUUGCACAAUGGGCGCAAGCCUGAUGCAGCGACGCCGCGUGGGGGAUGACGGCCUUCGGGUUGUAAACUCCUUUCGCUAGGGACGAAGCGUUAUGUGACGGUACCUGGAGAAGAAGCACCGGCUAACUACGUG